CGUACCACAACGACAUACUGAAUAUUCUGUUAUGUGUCUGAAUUUCUUGAAUGUUUUUUUUUUGUGUGUUAAAUCCUAAAACAUGAAGUGGCAUUGUUGUCAGUUACUAUGGCUAUGGUCUGCGUGCAGCGUGGAUAAUACCUCUUUCCCUUUGCUGUGGAUCAUGGUGUAGCUGAGUUAAUUUUAUUUAUUUAUUUUUUUUUUGGAUUAACCUUCUCAAAACACCCUUUUGUUGAAUUUACAUGAUUGUUGUCGCCUUUGCACUUAUUUCUGUUUUAUACUGUUUUAUUUUUGGAUCCCAAUGCGGCCCAAAUCCAUCCCCAUUAUCUAUGUAUUUUUGUUUUUCCUUGGUUUUUGAAUUGUAUUUUAUUUUGGUGGAGAAGCUUUUAUUUUCUUGUUUCCUGUCUCCGUGUCACAUCCUGUGUGUUCCCGCUGCCCUCCUCAGUUCGCGCCAAGCUGCGCUGGGGAGAGGUGUGAGUGGGAAAGCCAGAGCCAGGAGCUGCUGCUGAACAUGUUUUUUGUUUUAAACAGGAAUAAAUCAUUGCAAAUCCUG